GAUCCAGCCAUGCCGCGUGUGUGAAGAAGGUCUUCGGAUUGUAAAGCACUUUAAGUUGGGAGGAAGGGCAUUAACCUAAUACGUUGGUGUUUUGACGUUACCGACAGAAUAAGCACCGGCUAACUCUGUGCCAGCAGCCGCGGUAAUACAGAGGGUGCAAGCGUUAAUCGGAAUUACUGGGCGUAAAGCGCGCGUAGGUGGU
rnacentral:rRNA from 1 species